rnacentral:rRNA from 1 species
AGAGUUUGAUCCUGGCUCAGGAUGAACGCUAGCGGGAGGCCUAACACAUGCAAGUCGAACGGGAUUGAGAGCUUGCUCUCAUGAAAGUGGCGCACGGGUGAGUAACGCGUAUGCAACCUACCUAUAACUGAGGGAUAGCCCAUAGAAAUGUGGAUUAAUACCUCAUAGUUCUUUUGAACCGCAUGGUUUAAAAGAUAAAGCUCCGGCGGUUAUAGAUGGGCAUGCGUGACAUUAGCUAGUUGGUAAGGUAACGGCUUACCAAGGCUACGAUGUCUAGGGGUUCUGAGAGGAUGAUCCCCCACACUGGUACUGAGACACGGACCAGACUCCUACGGGAGGCAGCAGUGAGGAAUAUUGGUCAAUGGGCGCAAGCCUGAACCAGCCAUCCCGCGUGCAGGAUGAAGGCCCUAUGGGUCGUAAACUGCUUUUAUACACCAAGAAAAACACCCA